rnacentral:rRNA from 1 species
UUCUGAGCAGGGUUAGCCGGCCCCUAAGUCGAGGCAGAAAUGCGUAGACGAUGGGGACCACGUUAAUAUUCGUGGGCUUGGAGGUAGUGACGGAUCACGUGUGUUGUCAGGUCUUAUUGGAUUGAUCUGGCUGCGAAGUGGUUCCAGGAAAUAGCUCCUCCUUAUAAACCGUACCCGAAACCGACACUGGUGGACUGGUAGAGUAUACCAAGGCGCUUGAGAGAACUAUGCUGAAGGAACUCGGCAAAUUGCACGCGUAACUUCGGAAGAAGCGUGACCCCUAUGAACGCAAGUUUAUGGGGGUGGCACAGACCAGGGGGUAGCGACUGUUUAUCAAAAACACAGGGCUCUGCGAAGUCGCAAGACGACGUAUAGGGUCUGACGCCUGCCCGGUGCUGGAAGGUUAAGAGGAGGGGUGCAAGCUCUGAAUCGAAGCCCCAGUAAACGGCGGCCGUAACAAUAACGGUCCUAAGGUAGCGAAAUUCCUUGUCGGGUAAGUUCCGACCUGCACGAAUGGCGUAACGACUUCCCCGCUGUCUCCAGCAUAGACUCAGUGAAAUUGAAUUCCCCGUGAAGAUGCGGGGUUCCUGCGGUUAGACGGAAAGACCCCGUGCACCUUUACUAUAGCUUUACAUUGGCAUUCGUAGUGGCAUGUGUAGGAUAGGUGGUAGGCUUUGAAGCAGGGACGCCAGUUUCUGUGGAGCCACCCUUGAAAUACCACCCUUAUCUCUAUGGAUGUCUAACCGCGGCCCGUUAUCCGGGUCCGGGACAAUGUAUGGUGGGUAGUUUGACUGGGGCGGUCGCCUCCCAAAGAGUAACGGAGGCGCGCGAUGGUGGGCUCAGAACGGUCGGAAAUCGUUCGCUGAGUGCAAUGGCAUAAGCCUGCCUGACUGCGAGACUGACAAGUCGAGCAGAGACGAAAGUCGGUCAUAGUGAUCCGGUGGUCCCGCGUGGAAGGGCCAUCGCUCAACGGAUAAAAGGUACGCCGGGGAUAACAGGCUGAUGACCCCCAAGAGUCCAUAUCGACGGGGUUGUUUGGCACCUCGAUGUCGACUCAUCGCAUCCUGGGGCUGGAGCAGGUCCCAAGGGUAUGGCUGUUCGCCAUUUAAAGCGGUACGUGAGUUGGGUUCAGAACGUCGUGAGACAGUUCGGUCCCUAUCUGCCGUGGUUGUAGGAAUAUUGAAAGGAUCUGUCCCUAGUACGAGAGGACCGGGAUGGACGGAUCUCUGGUGGACCUGUUGUGGCGCCAGCCGCAUAGCAGGGUAGCUAUAUCCGGACGGGAUAACCGCUGAAGGCAUCUAAGCGGGAAACCCACCUUAAAACGAGUAUUCCCUGAGAGCCGUGGAAGACGACCACGUUGAUAGGCCGGGUAUGGAAGUGCGGCAACGCAUGAAGUUUACCGGUACUAAUAGCUCU